rnacentral:rRNA from 1 species
UUUGGGGUGUGACUGCGUACCUUUUGUAUAAUGGGUCAGCGACUUAUAUUCUGUAGCAAGGUUAACCGUAUAGGGGAGCCGCAGGGAAACCGAGUCUUAACUGGGCGUUAAGUUGCAGGGUAUAGACCCGAAACCCGGUGAUCUAGCCAUGGGCAGGUUGAAGGUUGGGUAACACUAACUGGAGGACCGAACCGACUAAUGUUGAAAAAUUAGCGGAUGACUUGUGGCUGGGGGUGAAAGGCCAAUCAAACCGGGAGAUAGCUGGUUCUCCCCGAAAGCU